AUCUACGGCCAUACCACCCCGAACGUGCCCGAUCUUGUCUGAUCUCGGAAGCUAAGCAUGGUCAGGCCUGCGUAGUGUUUGGAUGGGAGACCACCUGGGAAUACUGAGUGCUGUAGGCU
rnacentral:rRNA from 1 species